rnacentral:SRP_RNA from 1 species
UCGUGCUAGGUGGGGAGGUAGCGGUGCCCUGUACCCGCAAUCCGCUAUAGCGGGGCUGAAAUCCCGGUUGAGGAAGUGCUUCCUUCGAGCGAUCGGCGGCGGGUAGUGGUGUCGAUGGUCAGGUCCCGCGCAAUGAGAACCCGCCAACCCCGUCAGGACCGGAAGGUAGCAGCGGUACGCGGUCAUUCUCAUGUGCCGCGGAACAACCUGGUUGGAGCUAACCCCUUCGCAAGAGCCGGGGGCGCCUUACGAGGCCGGGUGCACGA